rnacentral:rRNA from 1 species
UGGGGAAUAUUGCGCAAUGGUCGAAAGACUGACGCAGCGACGCCGCGUGUGGGAGGAAGCCCUUCGGGGUGUAAACCACUGUCAGGGGGGAAGAACCCCGGGUAGGCGAAUACCCUGCCCGGCUGACGGUACCCCCAGAGGAAGCGCCGGCUAACUCCGUGCCAGCAGCCGCGGUAAGACGGAGGGCGCAAGCGUUGUUCGGAAUUACUGGGCGUAAAGCGCAGGCAGGCGGUUUGUUAAGUCUUUUGUGAAAAUCCGGGGCUCAACUCCGUGAAACGCAGAAGAUACUGGCAGACUGGAGACCAGUAGAGGCUAGCGGAAUUCCUGGUGUAGCGGUGGAAUGCGUAGAUAUCAGGAAGAACACCUGUGGCGAAGGCGGCUAGCUGGGCUGGAUCUGACGCUCAUCUGCGAAAGCGUGGGGAGCAAACAGGAUUAGAUACCCCCGUAGUCC